CGGUGGCUGCUCCCGAGGCCGGGCGGGGACGCGCUGCCCCCGCCCUGCCUCCCCGUGGUCCACACCCCCUUUGGGCUCCGGAGCCGCGGGGACGGAGUAGUCGGGGGUGCGCGCGGGCCGGCGCUGGCAGCCCCGCUCAGCCCGGCACUGGGGUCCGAGGGGCCGCAGGACGCGGCGCGCGUGCCCUCCCGCCGCCUCCUCCUCCCUGCUCUCACCUGCGCCCGUUAGCCCACUAGCCUUCAAGGCUGCAGCCAGUGGCUGCAGCCCAGUCCGCGAGGGUCGGACCGCAGAGGGAGAGAGAGCACCUGAGGAUACAGAGCGGGCACUGGACUGCCUUUUCACUCCCCAGGUGAUGAGUGAGGUCGGAAGAUCGCAAGAUUUAAAAAGCAACCGGGUCCUCCGUAUUGAAUGAAAGACCCAGUGCAAAGGCAUCACCAUGAACACGAGCAUUCCUUAUCAGCAGAAUCCUUACAAUCCCCGAGGCAGCUCCAAUGUCAUCCAGUGCUACCGAUGUGGAGACACCUGCAAAGGGGAAGUGGUUCGUGUCCACAAUAACCACUUCCACAUCAGAUGCUUCACCUGUCAAGUGUGUGGCUGCGGCCUGGCCCAGUCGGGCUUCUUCUUCAAGAACCAAGAGUACAUCUGCACUCAGGACUACCAGCAACUCUACGGCACCCGCUGCGACAGCUGCCGGGACUUCAUCACCGGGGAGGUCAUCUCUGCCCUGGGCCGCACCUACCACCCCAAGUGCUUCGUGUGCAGCUUGUGCAGGAAGCCUUUCCCCAUUGGAGACAAGGUGACCUUCAGCGGGAAGGAAUGCGUGUGUCAGACAUGCUCCCAGUCCAUGACCAGCAGUAGGCCCAUCAAGAUCCGCGGACCGAGCCACUGUGCCGGGUGCAAGGAGGAGAUCAAGCACGGCCAGUCGCUCCUGGCGCUGGACAAGCAGUGGCACGUCAGCUGCUUCAAAUGCCAGACCUGCAGCGUCAUCCUCACGGGGGAGUACAUCAGCAAGGAUGGUGUUCCGUACUGCGAAUCUGACUACCACUCCCAGUUUGGCAUUAAAUGCGAGACCUGUGACCGAUACAUCAGCGGCAGGGUCUUGGAGGCGGGAGGGAAGCACUACCACCCAACCUGUGCCAGAUGCGUACGUUGCCACCAGAUGUUCACCGAAGGAGAGGAGAUGUACCUCACAGGUUCUGAGGUUUGGCACCCCAUCUGCAAACAGGCAGCCCGGGCAGAGAAGAAGUUAAAGCAUAGGCGGACGUCCGAAACUUCCAUCUCACCCCCUGGCUCCAGCAUCGGAUCACCCAACCGAGUCAUCUGCGCUAAAGUGGAUAAUGAGAUCCUUAAUUACAAAGACCUGGCAGCUCUCCCCAAGGUCAAGUCCAUCUACGAGGUACAACGCCCUGACCUCAUUUCCUACGAGCCUCAUUCCAGAUACACGUCCGACGAGAUGCUGGAGAGAUGUGGCUAUGGAGAGUCGCUGGGAACACUAUCUCCCUACUCCCAGGACAUCUACGAGAGCCUGGACCUCCGACAGAGAAGGGCCUCCAGCCCAGGAUACAUCGACUCCCCCACCUACAGCCGGCAGGGCAUGUCUCCCACCUUUUCCCGCUCGCCUCACCACUACUACCGCUCUGGGCCCGAGAGUGGCCGGAGCUCUCCAUACCAUAGCCAGUUAGAUGUGAGGUCCUCCACUCCGACCUCUUACCAGGCUCCCAAGCACUUUCACAUCCCAGCUGGAGAAAGUAACAUCUACCGGAAACCCCCGAUCUACAAACGGCAUGGCGAUUUGUCAACAGCAACCAAAAGCAAAACAAGUGAAGACAUCAGCCAGGCCUCCAAGUAUAGUCCAGCCUACUCACCAGACCCCUACUAUGCUGCAGAGUCUGAGUACUGGACCUACCAUGGGUCCCCCAAAGUGCCCCGAGCCAGAAGGUUCUCAUCUGGAGGAGAGGAAGACGACUUUGACCGCAGCAUGCACAAGCUCCAGAGUGGAAUUGGCCGGCUGAUUCUGAAGGAGGAGAUGAAGGCCCGGUCCAGCUCCUACGCGGAUCCCUGGACCCCACCCCGGAGCUCCACCAGCAGCCGGGAGGCCCUGCACACAGCUGGCUAUGACAUGUCCCUCAAUGGCUCCCCUCGGUCCCACUACCUGGCUGACAGCGGUAUGUUCUGCCUGCCCUCCCUUCAGCCUCUCGUGUCUUGUGAGAGCCAGAGCUGGAGGCGGGUCCCCUGGAGCUGUGAUGUCCCAACACGAUCCCGAACUCAAAUAGCCCACCCCACCGUGUUUGUCAGAUACCCCCUCAUCUCCAAAUCUGCCUCCCUGCCUGCCUACCGAAGAAAUGGGCUACACAGGACACCCAGCGCAGACCUCUUCCACUAUGACAGCAUGAAUGCCGUCAACUGGGGCAUGCGAGAGUACAAGGUAAAGGAGAUGCGUUGACCCUGGGGGUCUCUGGGACCCUGGGAGCCGCUCCAUUGGGGGCCAGCAGGAGGAUGACUGCACUAUCUAUGCAGGGAAGGGAACAUCGAAUAAAUAACCUCAAGGGUCCUCUUGAGACCGACAUAUCCGGUCCCUCCCUGGCCAGCUUUCCCCGAAUCCUACCCUAUGUCUUUUGCCCGCUGAAAUCAGACAGUUCCUUGUGGGCCUCGGAGACUUUCUGGAGGCUUGCCAAUCACGAGACCUGAGACGUUUACAAUUAGGAGGCCUUGUGCCAAUUUAUGUCAAACACCACCAAGCUUAUUCUUAGCAGUAUUAGGGGAUUCAGGUUUUGCCUUUGGGGAGAAGGUGCCUUGAGGCCGUCAGGCAACUCCAAGAACAGACCCAGCCCUUCCUCCAGACUUUAACCACUGGCCCUUUCUGGGGAGAGGAGGGAGCCCAGACACAACAUGCGGCUGAAGGGAUAAGCCUACCACCUUCACCUGACCUGGAAACCCACCCCCCCCCACCCUGUCUUUUCUCCUUAGAUCUACCCUUAUGAACUUCUGCUGGUGACCACAAGAGGAAGAAAUCGACUGCCCAAGGAUGUGGACCGGACGCGUUUAGAGCGCCACCUGUCCCAGGAGGAGUUCUACCAGGUCUUCGGCAUGACCAUCUCUGAGUUUGACCGGCUGGCCCUCUGGAAGAGGAAUGAACUGAAGAAGCAAGCCCGGCUGUUCUAGGCAGAGGCUCUAUAAAUAUAUAUGCAUUUAUAUAAAGAUAUAUGUAAAAUCUCUAUACUGAAGCUCGGUAUAAUCCUCUCUUGUGUAAUGGGACACACUGCCUGCCAUGAGACUUGCUUUUCUGUACUGUCAGGCAAGCCCACGUCAUCGAGAUAUUUUUAUGCUCCUUACUCUCUCUUUUCUAAGUGCUCUGGGGUUUGGGAAGGGAUUUGAGGGGACUCCCAUCCUUUUGCUGGGGAUCCUUUUUAUACUGAAACAUCUGUCCGUAACCUGAGUCCCCCAAGGUCCAACUCUCUUUCCUAAGGAGGUGCCUGAAGAAGUCUCUCUUCUCUCUGCUUCUCGGCUCUUGCCCCAGUCUCCAGGGUGGAUGCUGACCAUGGAGUUUUCACACCUUAUUGGCCCCAGAGGGGCCCUCCCAUGGGAGGAGCCACAGCGAUCUCCCUAAGUCCCUGAGCGCCUUUGAGAGCCCGUGCAGAAUUUUCUCCACCUCUCCAAUUAAGAGUUCGGGGCUCUCUGGGGGUGAUGCGCUUAGCAGUGUGGGCCUCGGAUCUACUCGAUACAGCAGCACACAGAAGUGGAUAGGGCCUUGGCCUCUCUGCAGCUCCUCAGUCCUCCUCCUUCUGUCCUUGAUCCUAACCUCUCCCUUGUCCAAGUCUCACGGUAGGGGAAGAAAAGGCACUUCCCUUCCCUCCGCCACUUGCAACUGGCCCCUUUGCCUGGCCCUGACGCGGAGACGAGGGAAGACGCGGGAGCUGGAAGCAGGAGCCAGAGCAGGGCACCUGUUAGAAUUGGAGCUGCAGGACCUCUUGGGACCCUCCUCUCACCCCCACUGUUCCCAGCGCCUCCUGACCCUUCCCCCCUUUGGAAGAGAGGCCCAGUACUGCAGCCUGUAUUCUUUGGCCUUACUACAAUCAAUGUGCCUGACAACUCAACACACCACAGGGCUAAUGUUCCCAUCAUAGCUCCAACAGUACAACUAGACAGACAACCUCUAAUACCCCUCUAAACAUCGGACAGGCCAUGUCCCAGAGAGAGCUUCCUGGUCUACCCCUGCUGGUCCCUAGGCUAAAAGGGCAACCAAACCAGCCCCCCACCAGUCAUCGGCUCCCACUACAAGGUUGGCCAUGUCUCAUUGGGGAAACCUUUGGAAGAAUGGCUGCUUAUAGAAUUCCAGAAUGAAGCAUUGGCCAACACUGCUCACGAUCACCCUGGAUUUCCCCAGUGGCUGCCUUCCCUGCCCCCUUGCCUUCCUGAACAAGAGUAAAAGCUUAACUUUAGCUUCACUCCUCUCCUCCCUUCCCCAAACCUUUGACCCCAAGUUGGUGAUGUUUGGUGGGUCUGUUCCUUCUUGGAGAUGCCUUGAUUUAGAUCACUCUGAGGUCAUGGAGGAAAGACGAAGAAGUGAGAAUAACCAUUAUCACUGUCAAGAGGCUGGUGAUGUGACGUGGCAAAUAUAGAACUGACUUCAGUCCAGCAAACCCUCACUGAGCACCUGCUGAUGCUGAGCACCUGCUGUAUACAGAGCACGGAAUAAGGGAAGGAGAUGGGAACACCAAGAUGAGCAACACGGGAUCUGGGCCGGGGUGGGGGGCAUGCCUACUAACAAUGGGUGUCGUCAGGCAUGAACUCAAACGUGACGGUUGUAAGGCGGGAAGUGAUGGGAGAUGGCACGAGAGCAUGUUUGGAGCAUUCCUGAAAAGGUAGAUGCAGUUGGUGGAGACCAAGGAACGCUUUCUGGAAGAGAUCGCAUUUGAGCAAAGUUCAGGAAGGAUCUUUGUAAACUGAGAAGAGACUAUGACUUGAAAGGGUGAUGGGAUGAGGGGCCAAAAAGAGGUCUAACGUACUCUCAUUUAAAACAUCAACCCUCUCUGCAAUUCUCUUUUUGGCCAGUGUAUUUCAACUGUCCUGACCCUUUAGAAAUGUCCCCAGCCAGACACAAUCAUUGAAACUGCCUCAUUAUCACUGGUUGAGAACUUGGCAAGAUUGAAGGGCUUUUGUUAUUGUUGUUGGGCUUUUCUGUUUCCCAUAAAAGCACAUAAUUUCAACCCA